rnacentral:ncRNA from 2 species
GUUCGUCUUCAGGGCAGGGUGUAAUUCCCGACCGGUGGUGAUAGUCCACGACCUAUCUUGGUAACAAGAUGGCUGAAUUGGUGAAAUUCCAAUACCGACAGUAAAGUCUGGAUGGAAGAGGAUAGAG